rnacentral:rRNA from 1 species
GACGAACGCUGGCGGCGUGCUUAACACAUGCAAGUCGAACGGAAAGGCCCUGCUUUUGUGGGGUGCUCGAGUGGCGAACGGGUGAGUAACACGUGAGUAACCUGCCCUUGACUUUGGGAUAACUUCAGGAAACUGGGGCUAAUACCGGAUAGGAGCUCCUGCUGCAUGGUGGGGGUUGGAAAGUUUCGGCGGUUGGGGAUGGACUCGCGGCUUAUCAGCUUGUUGGUGGGGUAGUGGCUGACCAAGGCUUUGACGGGUAGCCGGCCUGAGAGGGUGACCGGCCACAUUGGGACUGAGAUACGGCCCAGACUCCUACGGGAGGCAGCAGGGGGGAAUAUUGCACAAUGGGCGGAAGCCUGAUGCAGCAACGCCGCGUGCGGGAUGACGGCCUUCGGGUUGUAAACCGCUUUCGCCUGUGACGAAGCGUGAGUGACGGUAAUAGGUAAAGAAGCACCGGCUAACUACGUG